UGGAAUCCGGUGGAUACAGCAGUGUUACAGUUCUCCACAGUCACUGUCCACAUGGGUCAGUGGGACCAAGCAGCACUCUGCUAAUGUGUGGACUCUGACCAGCAACAUCCAGCAAGACCCAGGCAGCGUUUUCUAUCUCCCAGCUGGAGUUUUUUUGUUUGUCUGUGACUGGAGAGUCAGAUUUUUGUUGAGGCUGGAGGAACAGCCUCACACUCGCAGAGGUUAAUACACGGCACUGAUCCCUGAUGGGAGAAUCAUCACCUCUGCCAACAAAGAAGCCUGGUGGAUGUUUGUUUACAGUCUGAUGAUGGGACAUCAUGCUCUGCAUCUUCAAAUCUUUUUGCAGGAUCAGAAAACAAAACCAGGAGGCCUGUAAAUGUUUCUUCUCCAAUUGGAUGAUGAUAAGACUGUGACACGGGAUGCCACCUUUAGUCUUGUGAUGAAGCAAAGCUCAGGAAGAAGUGUGAUUAAAUGGUACCCACAUGUGUGCUGCUGAGAAGGAUGUACAGGGGCACCUGCAGCCAAAUCCAAGCCUCCUCAGCAACUUCAGGUCUGUCAGCGUGCUGAGGUCACAGAAACAAGAAAAGCAGCUUCAGACUUCAGAGUGUUGUUUACAG